rnacentral:misc_RNA from 1 species
GCUUCAAGGACACCUUACUGGUAAAUAUUUCUCUGGUUUGCUGCUUUUUGUUUGUGUGAAUUGUGAUUCGCUAUAGAAGUGGUGAAGUUGAAAUGCGAAUUUAGAGUGAGUUGCUAGCGCUAAUAGAUAGUGGUGAGUUUGUAUGUGUGAAUGAUUGAAGUCGCUGUUUCUUUUCUUUACUUUUGUUUGGUUACUGGGUUAAUCUAUUAUCUAGAACAAUACCCUUCACUUCAGCUACGUUAGAAGGAGAAACAGAUUUCAGGUUAAAUGCAAUCCGUGUGCGCAAUAGCUAGUUUGAAUAGUGAAGAUUUGAAAUGAUUUGUAAUUGUUGAAUUAGAUAGCACAAGUUUGUCCACUAUUUGCUAUAAUAUGCAAUUAGGAUUAAAUUUAGUAGGGAUAGUAAAAUUGACAGUGCUUCAACUUUUAUCCAGUUUCUAUUUUAGUAUUGGGCUUUAAUUUUUGCAAUCAAGUGCUUAAACAGAUUAAUAAUUUCUUAUCAAGUGCAUUUAGCUAUAAUUUCUUAUCAGAAUGUCCGUUUUGAC